rnacentral:rRNA from 1 species
UACGGAGGGAGCUAGCGUUGUUCGGAAUUACUGGGCGUAAAGCGCACGUAGGCGGCUACUCAAGUCAGAGGUGAAAGCCCAGGGCUCAACCCUGGAACUGCCUUUGAAACUAGGUAGCUAGAAUCUUGGAGAGGUCAGUGGAAUUCCGAGUGUAGAGGUGAAAUUCGUAGAUAUUCGGAAGAACACCAGUGGCGAAGGCGACUGACUGGACCAGUAUUGACGCUGAGGUGCGAAAGCGUGGGGAGCAAACAGGAUUAGAUAC